GCACCCCUUCCUUUCCCACCCCUCCGCCGUCCCUAACCCCGGCUCCCCGCUAGCCCUGGGCCUUCCCUUAAAGCCGAAGUCGCCCCCGUCUGCGCCCGCGGGAGCCCCCACCGCCCCGCACCGCCUCCGGGGCCCCCGCCUCUCCCCCGGCGUAGCACGGGCGCGCUCUCCCCAGCAUCCAGCCUUAAAAAUGAAAAUGCUUUCGAAAGUACAGGAAUGCGCGCAGGCACACGCACGCACGCACACCACGUGCAAAAAUAAACAGGAUCAGAGAAAGGAGUGGUCCUUCAAACAUGGUAGUUUCGGUGCAAACGCCCGUAGGUCCGGCUCGCUCUCGCCUCUUCCUCACUCCGGCCACCUUCCCUCUGACACCCUCCCUUCCCUGGGCACGAGGUAAGGGAGCAGGGACCCGGGACCCUGAGCAGGCGGCGGGAUCCGGGAUCGGACCGGGAGCGCCCCGCUGGCUCAGUGUUCAGCGCACCCCUCCUCCCCGAGCCCAGGCCCGGCCCCCGCCCCCGGGCAGCGCCGGUGCCCCCCAGAGGUGUCCGCCAGAGGUGCCCGCUAAGCCUCCGCGUUGCGGGGAUGCCCGGCCCCACGCACAGACCCUCGGCCGCGGUGCUGUGAGCAGGAAAGCGAAACUUGUUGCUCCCAACGGCGAGCGAAGGGUUGGGCUUCUUGAGGCGGCGAAGAGCCUGAGAAGCAUCCUCCAGGCGUCCUCCGGGCCCAGACACCAAGACCCCAAAGAGCCAUCGCUGCAAAUCGGGGUUCCAGAGAUGCGGCAUCUCCAGGCGUCAGCGCUCGCCCCCGUUCAUAGCAUCCUCCGUGCAGGUCUUUCUGGAACCGAAAAUCUCUGUGAAGUAACAGCCCUGUCUACAUUCAUCCUCUGCUCGCCGGCCAGACAGCGUUACAUGGGAAACCUUAGCAUGUGGUUCUUUGUUAGAAAUGCCAACAGAGUUUUCUCCACCAAUUGUCGUCCGUCUGACCUUCUCCCCCAAAUCCUGGUGGCACCCUCUAAAGUCGGAAGGAGCCCUUCCAGGUUGUCAAAGAGUCUCCUCUUCCUGUCAAGCCAUCCCUGAAGUCACACUGGAGAUCGUCCCCAACGCCGUAGCCCACAAAGAAAAUACCUUCCGAGGACAGAAUUGUUGAAAACACACUUCCCCCUAGAGGCAGAAAAGAUGAAACAAUAUUGCACAGAAUUCAGGAAUAUGUUUGGCGUGAAAUGAGUGCUGGGAUCUUAUUUUUAACAUGCAGUUGGUGUUUCUGAGAAAACAUUCAAGAUGUGGGAGGAAAAUCAAUGAAAAAAUUAAAACUUUGCCUCUAGGUCUUAGCCUUCCUUAGCAGGGACUCUGUUAAUUGGCCCCAUCCUUUUGUUUUGUUUUAAUACAAAUCUAAGAUUUUUUUGCCAGCACUAAAAAUAAUAGUGGUCAUGUGUUUUUUCUAGUUAAGUUUCUGAUUCAAUUUCAUCAUAAAUGGCAGUCAAAUGUGGCCUUGAGGGGUGCUUGUGAAAACACGGCCCUAGCAGAUUUAUCGCCUGAUGGGUCACAUUUGUUUCUGUAUUCCAGUCCUCUUUUUUUUUAAUUUUUUAAAAUAUAUUUUAUUGAUUUCUUACAGAGAGGAAGGGAGAGGGAUAGAGAGUUAGAAACAUCGAUGAGAGAGAAACAUCGAUCAGCUGCCUCUUGCAUACUGGGGAUGUGCCCGCAACCAAGGUGCAUGCCCUUGGCCAGAAUCGAACCCGGGACCCUUGAGUCCGCAGGCCGACACUCUAUCCACUGAGCCAAACCAGUCAGGGCUAUUCCUGCCCUCUUAAGUUUCCAUCAACCAGUCUUAUUGUCAUUUCUUUGGAGCUGUUCUGAGACAAAAUGACAUUAGAAAGACUUCCGGAAAAUACAGAGCCGGUCCGUGGUUUAACCUGAGUAUCACCAUGAGUUUUCUAAGAUUUGCAAGCCACACGAAGAAUUCCCAUAUCACUGACUUAUGGACACAUCAUUUGAUGUAGAUUAUUCCAUUCACAAAAACAGUGGGUGGGCCUCAACUUCACGCACACCAAUAUUGACUGUACUUCAUUGGUUUAUUUAGUUGUACCCUGCGUUCGUCCAGAAAGGAUUUGAGAAGACACAUAAAAAGUGAAAUUUUAGAAAAGUUUCCUCAGGCCAAAACGCACAGCCAUCGGGUCCGACACUCUUGGGCCCGACGCUGUCCCUCCAGCCUUUACGUGACUCCAAAGCCUCCGCAGCACCUUCCUCCCCAUCCGAGUUCUAGGGUUCCCGGUCACAGCCGGUUUUCUUUCCGUUUUCUGGGAGGGGUGUCUGCGCGGACCAGGCUUCGGAGCCGGAUUCCAUGGAGACAGGAGGCAUUUAGAAGCCUCACAAACACGUCCUGAGGUGGUCACCGAGGCUCUUUGACCUUCAGUUUCCUCGCUGUUCUUCAGUCUUCUCACUUCUAACAUGGAGAUCAUGUCAUCGGCCUGGUGUUGCAGAAGGAAGGAUCAGAAAGGAUGGAUGCCAAGUCCUUCGAAUGCAGUGGGAAAUGAAUAAAUGGCAGGUCUUACAGGCCCUUGAAUGCCUGGUAAAGAGUGCACGCCAAAGAGAGAGGAAGGGAAAGGGAGAGGAAGAGAAGCAUCGAUAAGAAACAAAAGCAUCAAUCUGCUGCCUACUACAUGCCCCCUGACCGGGAUUGAACCGGCAAGUUCUCGGUGCAUGGGUCGAUGCUCAAGCCCUGAGGAACACUGGCCAGGCUCUUAUUAUUAUUCUUAAAUAAGACCCAUGAACAUUUCUCGUGUUUCAAUUUUUUAAAAUGUUUAUUGAAUUUACUGGGGUGGCAUUGGUUAACAAAAUUGUAUAGGUUUCAGGUGCACAAUUCUGUAAUACAUCUGUAUACUGUAUUGUGCGUUUAUCGCCUUGAAUCAAGUCUUCUUUCAUCAUCAUUUACGCCCCCUUCUACCUUCCCCUACCCCUCUUUCCCUCUGGUAAUCACCACACUGGUGUCUGUGUCUAUAAGUGUUUUUUUCUUUGCUGAAUCCCAUCAUCUUUUUCACCCAGGCCCCCAACCCCCACAUUGAUAUUUUCCAAUUGUUGGUAACUCCUUUGGCAUUAAAUGUUCUUUGCUCUUCAUCCAUCCUACAAAAAUAUUCUUUCAGCCUUUAUUUCUUUUUCCCUGUACUAACUGCCGGGGUGACGGGGAGCAGGGGGAGGGGGAGUAACAAAGAUUAUUUUAACUCAAAUCUGUCAUUUUACAGACUCUUGGAAGUCUUGAGGUAUGACAUGGAAAUGACUUUCUACUUGGGCAAUUUCUUAUAUUCAAGUGUAUGUAAGUGUAUUAAGUAUCUCAAGUUGUAAAUCAUUCCUGUUCUAGUGAAUCACUUUGGUGGUGUUAUUUUUAACCUCAGGUACAAAAUUUUUUAUUUCAGCUCUUGGCACAUUCAGUAUCAAUCUGCAAGGUUCUUGUCUUAUUUUAAUGUCUUCCCUUCAUUGCUCUCUUCAUUCCUUUUGCUCCAUAUGACUCUUCUGUUUCUAAUAUAUGUAGAUGGGUCUAAAUCAUUGAAAAAGAGUAUUUCUUGUGCAUGCAUGUGUUAUUUCAGUAUAGAAAUUGUAUUAUGCUAUUUCUUAUUCUCACAGAGAGUGACAUGGAUAGAUCUUAACUAUUAGGUGAAAAAUCUACCUUAUUACUUUGGUUUUGUUUAAUUUUUAGAACUGGUAAUAUUUUUUCAAACUUUGUUGUAGAAUAAUUGAUAAAUAUAAUUGUACAACUUG